GAAUGAAAGAAUCAUGGUAAUGAGCACAGAAAUUCUAUCGGGUCUCUAGAUCUGCCUUCUCCAAUGCAUUCAGGCCUUGAUUUGGGGGGCAUAGUUCCACGCAUAACG